rnacentral:rRNA from 1 species
CCUACGGGUGGCAGCAGUGGGGAAUAUUGCACAAUGGGGGAAACCCUGAUGCAGCAACGCCGCGUGAGUGAAGAAGUAUUUCGGUAUGUAAAGCUCUAUCAGCAGGGAAGAAGAGAGACGGUACCUGACUAAAAAGCCCCGGCUAACUACGUGCCAGCAGCCGCGGUAAUACGUAGGGGGCAAGCGUUAUCCGGAUUUACUGGGUGUAAAGGGGGCGUAGGCGGCUGUGUAAGUCUGAAGUGAAAGCCCGUGGCUCAACCUCGGAACUGCCUUUGAUACUGUUUAGCUUGAGUACUGGUGGGGUAGGCGGAAUGUAUAGUGUAGCGGUGAAAUGCGUAGAGAUUAGGAGGAACACCAGUGGCGAAGGCGGCUUGCUGGACUGAAUCUGACGUUGAGGCUCGAAAGCGUGGGGAGCAAACAGGAUUAGAUACCCGAGUAGUC